GGAGCUUGAGUCAGCUGGCUGCUCUGUGAGGGUGAAAGAGUCAGUGCUCUGAGGAGCUGCCCGUGAGAAAACACCAAUAAGGCACAUCGAUCUCGGGCACGCACAUCACUCGUAAUCUCCUGCUGUAACUGGCAAACCAAAGUGUAAAAAACGAGGCUGGCAGGGCUGAGCUAGGAGAUUAAAGAAGAAAAAUGUUAAGAGGGACAACUAAGAACAAAUCUUUGCAGCAAAAUGAAAAGAUGGAGAGAGCACUGCCUGUAGCCAGCCCUACAACCAUGGAGCUUCAGCCAAGCAGAGCAGAGGAGUGUUCCAGUGCUGCAGAGAGGUGUCUGGACUUCUCACAGAUCAUGGGGCUCUGCCAGCACUUCUGAAGUGGAAGCAAUUUGUAAACACAGUGUACAAGGGAGAGCAGCAAGCCUUUGUUUGUAAAUCUAUGUAGCAUUGUGUUGAAUUUCUAUGUUAUGUACUUGGCUUAAAGGGAAGGAGUGAAGUACAUUUAAAAAAAAAUCUUUCUCUCUUAAGGAAAUAAGACAAAGUAUUCUAUCCGCAAAUGCCUGUUCAAGCUGCUUCUUGCAGCUUCUGUGUGAUGAUUGAUUUCUGAAGGCUCUUGGGAGAAAAAAGGCUAUCAGCAAAGGCUGAGUUCCUCCCAAAAAAACCCCUUUUUCUCAGCAAAAGAGAGCCAGUCACUAGCACAAAUGCCUUCUGGCUUUUUCUGAUGCCUGAUAUAUCUUUGAAUGUCUGUUAUUAACACAUGAGAAACCUGAAGAAAGUUCACUGGAAUGGGUAAGAAGGGAAAGAAAAAUCCAAGUGAGGUCAGACACAGCAGAUCCUUUGGCCCCUAUUUGCAUGUUUUCCUUUCUAGUGUGUUGUAGUUCAGAUUUUGCUUCCAGAUG